UAGGGAAUCUUCCACAAUGGACGCAAGUCUGAUGGAGCAACGCCGCGUGAGUGAAGAAGGUUUUCGGACCGUAAAGCUCUGUUGUUGGUGAAGAAGGAUAGAGGUAGUAACUGGCCUUUAUUUGACGGUAAUCAACCAGAAAGUCACGGCUAACUACGUGCCAGCAGCCGCGGUAAUACGUAGGUGGCAAGCGUUGUCCGGAUUUAUUGGGCGUAAAGCGAGCGCAGGCGGAAGAAUAAGUCUGAUGUGAAAGCCCUCGGCUUAACCGAGGAAUUGCAUCGGAAACUGUUUUCUUGAGUACAGAAGAGGAGAGUAGAACUCCAUGUGUAGCGGUGGAAUGCGUAGAUAUAUGGAAGAAUACCAGUGGCGAAGGCGGCUCUCUGGUCUGCAACUGACGCUGAGGCUCGAAAGCAUGGGUAGCGAACAGGAUUAGAUACCCUGGUAGUCCAUGCCGUAAACGAUGAGUGCUAAGUGUUGGGAGGCUUCCGCCUCUCAGUGCUGCAGCUAACGCAUUAAGCACUCCGCCUGGGGGAGUACGACCGCAAGGUUGAAAC
rnacentral:rRNA from 1 species